CAUCAUUUUCUCUGGACCUUCUUCACCACUUGCCUUCAACCUCAGCUUUUCUCGGGUUAUCUCCGCGUUCCGGAAAAUACAGAAAACCUCACCUGCCUGCCCUCCAGCUGUCGCUCACCACCUCGGACGCUGUGGAACUCAGGAUCCAAAUGAAGAUCAGGUGGAUGUCUUCAGUAGAGGAACCAGAUUCUGGGGACGAGGGGGGCAAUCCACCCAUCACUGGGGAGGAGGGUGUCUGGCAUCGAGGGGUCCCUGGGAUAGAAGAAGGACAUGCUGGAAAGAUUCAGCUGGUCUGGGAACGCCUCAUUGUUUCCUGGAUGUUGGAGGUGGAUGAGGAGAGGGGAGGGUAUUCUGGGUUUCUCUCGUUAGGCUGCCCCUGCAACCUGGCCCCGGAAGGGGAAGAAAAUGGAUGAAUUGUUCGUGCUGUUGGAAACUGAUGUAAUUAAUCAAAUUUAGAAAUGUAAAAGGGGAAAAAAAAAAUCAGUGGUAGAAGUUGUAAUUUGUUUAAAAUGGGAACACCAUUGUAAGGUGGUUAUUAGAAAUCUGUAAUUCAACUUUUGUGAAAAUAAAUGAGAUUAGCUGAAAUUAA